rnacentral:rRNA from 1 species
AAUUUUAAGGUCAAGCUACAAAGGGCGCAUGGUGAAUGCCUUGGCACUAGGAGCCGAAGAAGGACGCGAUAAGCUGCGAUAAGCCUUGGGUAGCCGCAAAUAGGCUGAGAUCCAGGGAUUUCCGAAUGAGGAAACUCACAUGGGUAACCCCAUGUAUCAUGCACUGAAUACAUAGGUGUAUGAGGGUAAACCCGGGGAACUGAAACAUCUAAGUACCCGGAGGAAGAGAAAGAAAAAUCGAUUUCCUAAGUAGCGGCGAGCGAACGGGAAAGAGCCCAAACCAGAAACUUGUUUCUGGGGUUGUGGAUAGAUCAUAAAAGAAGAGGUAUCUUAAUCGAAGAGGCUGGAACGCCCUACCAUAGAAGGUAAUAGUCCUGUAGGUAAAAAGAGAAAACUUCGAGAUCUAAUCCAGAGUACCACGAGACACGUGAAACCUUGUGGGAAGCAGGGAGGACCACCUCCCAAGGCUAAAUACUACCUAGUGACCGAUAGUGAAGCAGUACCGUGAGGGAAAGGUGAAAAGAACCCCGGAAGGGGAGUGAAAUAGAACCUGAAACCGUGUGCCUACAACCGAUCGGAGCACGUUAAAGUGUGACGAUGUGCUUUUGUAGAACGAGCCAGCGAGUUACGCUAUGUAGCAAGGUUAAGUACUUAAGGUAUGGAGCCGAAGGGAAACCGAGUCUGAAAAGGGCGAAAAGUUGCAUGGUGUAGACCCGAAACCGGGUGACCUAUCCAUGGCCAGGUUGAAGCGAGAGUAAAAUCUCGUGGAGGACCGAACCACGUUGGUGUUGAAAACCAUGGGAUGAGCUGUGGAUAGCGGAGAAAUUCCAAUCGAACUCGGAGAUAGCUGGUUCUCCUCGAAAUAGCUUUAGGCUAGCGUCGUGUAAUUGAGUAAUGGAGGUAGAGCACUGAAUGGGCUAGGGGCUAUAGUAGUUACCGAACCCUAUCAAACUCCGAAUGCCAUAUACUUGUAUCACGGCAGUCAGACUGCGAAUGAUAAGAUCCGUAGUCAAAAGGGAAACAGCCCAGACCAUCAGCUAAGGUCCCAAAGUGUAAGUUAAGUGGAAAAGGAUGUGGGAUU